GCAAAGGCCGCACAGCGCCUUUGGGAAUAAAAACAGCCCCACAAUAGCACAGCCCCUCCACCAUAACUCUCAUUAGGUAUGGGGAUUUUUUCAGUA